rnacentral:rRNA from 1 species
AGGACGAACGCUGGCGGCGUGCUUAACACAUGCAAGUGGAGCGACGAACCAGGGCUUGCCCUGGGGCAGAGCCGCGAACGGGUGAGUAACACGUGGGUUACCUGCCUCGAUGACCGGGACAACCCGAGGAAACUCGGGCUAAUACCGGAUGUGCCCGCAAGGGGAAAGGAAGCUUCGGCCUCCGCAUCGAGAUGGGCCCGCGGCCCAUUAGCUUGUUGGUGAGGUAACGGCUCACCAAGGCUUCGAUGGGUAGCUGGUCUGAGAGGACGAUCAGCCACACUGGGACUGAGACACGGCCCAGACUCCUACGGGAGGCAGCAGUGGGGAAUCUUGCGCAAUGCGCGAAAGCGUGACGCAGCAACGCCGCGUGGGGGAAGAAGGCUUUCGGGUUGUAAACCCCUUUCAGUUGGGACGAAGCUUCGUCGGUUAAUAGCCGGUCGGAGUGACGGUACCUUCACAAGAAGCACCGGCUAACUACGUGCCAGCAGCCGC